GUGAUUCGUGCAAACUGCGUGCUUGUUGAGCAGCCUUCCUCAUUCGGUGUCAGUCUCAGUAGCAGCACAGCAAAACCAGCAGCACGGCAAGAGGAGCCAGAAGAUGCCCUGUUUUUCAAUACCAGUUAAAGUUGAGACAAUCACCACCGGGGUGACUCAUGGUGCCGAUGUGGAUCUGAUUGACCAAGUGAGAAGCAGAGUUAGGCUGGAGGGCACAAACCAGGAUGGACAGUAUACCAUUGUUUUCUGUCCCAUCGUCUCCCGUGUUGGUUCAGAUGUGGAGGCAGCCAUGCAAAACAUGCCACCCAAUAAAAAAGUCGUCCUGGUCCUGAUGCAUCACACCAGAGAUCCAGACUACUCCACCGCUGGGAGGAGCUGGUCAGAAGUUUAUCGGAACGUCGACUUAGAAGUUCAUGUCCUCUUCCAUGAAAGUGUUCCUGGGUUACUAACCUGUUCUCAGAACACAGAUGCAGUGUAUGAAAUGCAAACCUAUCUUCAACCAAGUGGAAUUAACCGUUUCUAUUUGUGGUGUCGCAGUUGCUGUUCUUGUUUUAGGUAAAACAAAAAUCAACAAAUGGAACCAGUUAAAUCAGAAAGUAAUAGCUAUGUGUUAAUGUCUCAGAGUACCUGUUUGUACAAGUGUAACCAUGUAUGAAACAAGAAGGUUUGGGGUUCAAACCCUAGAGUUCGCAUGUUCCUCCCUGUUCCUCUCCAGGUACCAAGACUUUCUUCUAAAGUCCAAAAAAAUCAUGAAUGUUCCAUUAAACUGUGUUCAUGUAAUUUGUUCAGUCAUUUAUGAAUUUUUCUGGUUUAAAUGUGCAAACAAAGUUAAAUUUGAAUCACCAGUGUCUUAAACUGAACAAGUUUUUCUCACUGAUCUUCAUAGGUGCGUUAGAUUGUUUUUUUUUAAGUGCCUUCAGACACGAGUUGUGUAUAAAAAUAGAAUGAAUUAAGAUCGACAGAAUUGCAACAGAUUUUAAACCAUGUAACAAACAUCCACUUAUAAAUGUUUUUGACUGUUCAUUAAUAGGAUUGUAUUAAUAUAUUAAUUAAUAUAUUCAGGUUUUCAAUUAUUAUUUUGGUGGCUAUGUUGCUGCUUUUAUGUGAUGGAUGUAGCUGUAGGUGUUUUAAUAUUAGCAUAUUCUGAGCUUUUGCCUAUCUUGAAUGAAGGUGAAUUGUAUUCUGUUUCCUUGGUAAAUAAAGGUGUAAAUAAUUCAAUGCAUUUAUUUCCUUUUUUUCAAAAAAUUGUAUCCAGAAGUCAAAUUUAUUUUGACAUUUCAAACUCUAAAAUUUCCUUGCUUUUCCAGAAAGAUUCUGAGGUUAAAGAAAUUCUCAAUUUUUCUUCACCACCUAUGGCUUUUAUAUACUGUCAUAAUUUUUAAUUGACCUAAUUAUAGAGUCUGUAUUUCAAUCAAAAACCAUACACUGACAAAAUAGGCAUUGUUUUUGAUUCAAUAUCCCUUUUUGUUGCUAAAUUAUUUAAUAAAUAGACAUAUACACUCAACAACAAUGCUAUUUAUUGCUCUAAUAUGUUAUUUGAAAUGUGUGUCAGGAACAAAUGAUCAUUCAUGUAACUUUGAAAAAACUGCU